rnacentral:telomerase_RNA from 11 species
GUAUCCCCGCAACUCCAUUCAGUUCGAAAUUGAACUGUCAUUCAACCCCAAAAAUCUAGUAAAAAAUAUUGCCGAAACUUUCAGGCAUUAAGGAAAGUAAAGCGGGAUCAGAUACUCCGACUUGUGAUACACUAUUUAUCACAUGGGAGAUCUAUUUUUAUUU